rnacentral:rRNA from 1 species
UUGGGAUUUAUUUAUUUUAGCAUUGACUUAUAUGUAAAUUUAUGUAAAUUUGAGGUGUCUAGAAGGUAUUUUAAUAUAUAUUGCAGUGGGUAAUUUUAUUGAUAUUAAGUUAGCUUAGAUUUGGUAAUUGCUUUUUAGUUUAGUUAAAACUGUGCCAGCAUCUGCGGUUAUACAGUGAAAUUAAGUAAAUGUUAUUGGUUUUGAAAUAAUUAAUAUAUUUUAUAACAUGAUAAUUGGAUUAUUGUUUAUGGUGAAAUAUUUAUAAUAUUUUGAAUUAUAUGUAGUUUAGUAUGAUUGUUAUGAAAAUGAAAAUAUAAACUAGGAUUAGAUACCCUAUUAUUUUUAUUAUAAAUUUAAAGAUUAAGCUUGAGUAUUAAUAGUUAUGAUCUUUAAACUUAAAGAAUUUGGCGGUAUUAUAAUCUGUUUAGAGGAAUCUGUUAUGUAAUUGAUAAUCCGCAUUGAACCUUACUUAUAUUAUUUCUUGUAUACCGCUGUUUAAGAGUAUAUUUUUAGAUAAUUUUCUGAAUAUUAGAAUUGUUAUAAUAUUUCAAGUCAAGGUGCAGUUAUAUAUAAGUUGAAUAAUGGAUUACAAUAAAUUUUAUUUAUUAUGAAUUAUUUAUUGAAAUAUAAUUUGAAGGUGGAUUUAAUUGUAAUUUUAUAAAGAUUGUUAAAAUGAUGGUGGCUCUAUAAUAUGUACACAUCGCCCGUCACUCUCGUUAUUAAAAUGAGAUAAGUCGUAACAGAGUAGGUGUAUCGGAAGAUGUACCUAGAAAGGUUGA